rnacentral:lncRNA from 1 species
AUGGCCGUAAGGGUCGAGUGUCGACUGAGUUUUGAAAAGCAGGAGGACUAAAAGUAAGGGAAGCAGAUGACGACGGAGGCGGUGAACCUGCCGAUCAUUGACUUGUCCUCAUCAGAUUCCAUCUCCUCUGCCAAUUCAAUCCGUCAGGUUCUCUUCUCUGUGUCCUCCUUCUUCCAAUAGUACACCAAAUUUCAUUGAAAAUUUGUUUUUCAUUCAUCUAAUUUAGCUUGAAUUAUACUUGUGUGUGCAUAUAUCCCUGUAGUUAUUGCUUAUUUGUAUUUGCACAGGCAUGCAUAGAAUAUGGUUUCUUCUACCUGGUGAAUCAUGGCGUCGAGGAAGAGCUGUUUGCAGAGGUGUUCGAUCGGAGCCGCAACUUCUUUUCGCUUCCUCUGGAAGAUAAGUUGAAAUUGACUCGCAAGCACCACAGAGGCUACACCCCACUAUUUAUGGAGAAUCUCGACUUCGCUUCCAGCUCCAAAGGUUGCUAAUCAUCCUACCAUUUCAUCUUUUCUUUAAAUCUUUUUGCUUACAAAGUUAAAAACUUAAAAUUUGGUGAUUUAAGUGUAAAUAUAAGAAACCAAAUGGAGGGAGGUUAAACUAAAAAAUGGCUUAGUGUACAAUGAUCAUACCAUGCCUGGUUUCUGCAAUUGUUUUGAAAUGAUCAGGAUAAGUAAUAAGUUGGAUAUUCCAUUGUUAUUUACUUGUUUUUUUUUUCUUAAUAAAUAAAAUAUGUAGUUCAUUGAUGAAUUCAUUAUAAUGUACAUAACAUGUUGGUCGAAGUUACAAUUUGUUGCGUUAAUGUUCUUGUUAACAUUCUGAAUAGUGAUAUUCGAAAAAUGUUUCAGGUACUAUCUAUUAAACUGUUGUGCUUGGUUGCCUUACUUUAGUUUUCAAGUUGUGCUGAAUGGAAAAGGGGAAAGGAUGUUGAUUUUAUCUCUUUUGGGUCGGCUGUGAAAUAGGUGACUCGAAAGAGAGUUUUUAUGUUGGCUCUUUAGAUGACCCAACUCUGAUUAAUUUGAACCAAUGGCCUCCAGAAGGUAUGGGAGCUAUUUUCAAAUGUUAAGUGUGGUAGCUUGCCUGACAAUGAAAUUUUUGAUGUUGAGUACCGUAUUACAUUUGAUUACGUCAUAAUUUCUUAAUUUUUCGUUGAGGAGAAAAUGUACAGAUAUCCUGCCAUCUUGGAGGCCUGCAAUGGAAUUGUACUAUAGAAAAGUCCUGUAAGUUCUAUUCUCCGUUGUAACAAUUUACUUCCCAGCAUUCUGCAUUUAGUAAAGUAAGAACUGUUGUUCAGGAAUGAUAAUUGAUAGUUUUUUAGGAGCUUUUCAUUAUAAACGUAUAUGUAUACAUAUGAAGGGUAGUGCUAUUCACACACCCUUUUUUACCUCCCAUACACCCUUGUCAAUUUUUGUCCAUUGAUCUUCUUCAAUUCAUUCGAUCCAAUGGCCGGAAAUUGAGAGGGGUGUGUGGAUAGCACCACCCAUCUACGAAUUUCUGGUGUUGGAUAUGCUGUCUCAGGUCUGCUGGAAAAAGAUUAAUCUCUCUCUGAUUGCCCUGGCUUUAAACCUGGAUGAGGACUUUUUCGAGAAAGUGGGGGCACUGAAUAAACCAAGGGGUCUUCUUCGACUUUUGCACUAUCCAGGUGUAGUAGCACUCUUCAGCUAAAAUAUAGCACUCCUUUUCUUUUCUUGUGUUCGUAAUUUAUUGAAUAAUAUUUCUUAUAUGUUUGAUCUUCUGUAUUUUAUUGUUUUUUUUUUUUCCUUCGCUUUCAUGGUUUUGGUAUGCAUGAUUUCAGGUGAGCUGGGAUCAACUGACGAAGAAAUAUAUGGUGCUUCUGCUCAUUCAGAUUAUGGCAUGGUCACUCUCCUUGCAUCCAAUGGAGUUCCUGGACUUCAGGCAUGCUUUUUGUUUGUUAGAUUUUGUUAGCACCGAACACCUAGUGGUUCCCUUUCAAGCUCAAUUAUGAUAUUCUUUUCUGUGACUUCUUGUUAACAAUUGACAGGUUUGUAGGGACAAAUCUAAGCAACCUCGAAUCUGGGAAGAUGUUCUUCACAUAGAUGGGUAAAUUCAAGAUCUUGAAUUUUCAUGAAACAAUGAUAUGAUUGUUAAAAUAAUUUUGUGCCCUUGUAUUCUUCAAUCAUUUAUGUGGAAGACCCUAUACAACAAUGUAAUGCAAUAUGAUGUUUAAAUAUGGAAAUGCUUCCUCAAAAAAGAAAAAUAUGGAUAUGGAGUUCCAUUCACUUUGUUAGAUAGAGAACAUUUAGGUCAUGAGGUUAAAAGUUCAGAGCUCGCUAUAGCUGUGUUACUUUUAUACCAUUCAUUAGAAACAGUGUUUUGUUUUGGUUUUCCUACGGGCAUCUUACAUGUUUACUAGAGUGCGUUUGUGAAUAACCGAACGGUAACUUUGUCCUUCUGAUGGUAUUAAAAAAAUUUGAAUCUCUAGGGCAUUCAUUGUCAACAUUGGGGACAUGAUGGAGAGGUGGACUAAUUGUUUGUUCAGGUAAUUUUUCAUUUUAUUAACUUUGAGGUUAUUUUCUUCUUACAGUGGUUAUACAUGUUUUAAAAUUUAGGACUCUGAGGACUGCAGACAUUUUCCCAUCUGUCAUUUAUUUGUAGGUCAACACUGCAUAGAGUGAUGCCAGCAGGACAAGAACGCUACUCCGUAAUCAUUUACCAAUUGUUCCAUUUUUAUUUGGUUUUCAUAAUACUGACUGUACUUCACAAUAAAAACGUCUCAAUAUUUGCAGGUGGCUUUCUUCAUGGAUCCCAAUGAAGAUUGUGUGGUGGAAUGUCUGAAAAGUUGUUGCAGUGAAGAAUCACCGGCAAGGUAUAAACCGCAAUAUGACUAUCCUCUUGGGUGUCAUAUUUGAUUUCCAGUUACCCUAACACAGUGCUUUAGCUUACCUCUGUCAUAGUUAGGCUUUGCUAAAUGUCAUGACGUAGAACUUGUGCUUACAAAACCGAAAAUCUUUUUGUAUGUUAUACAUGAGAACAUUGGUGGCCUGAAAAUCACCAUGCUUUCGUGUCCAACGUCCUUGUUGGUCCACUCUAUAAACACUGGUUUGGUAGCUCGAUCAAUUUACCCUGUAGAUAAUAUUUACCAAUUCUGCUUGCAGAUUUCCUCCCGUCCGCAGCGGGGACUACCUGGAAGAGCGUUUUCGGCUUACGUAUGCAACUUAAAAGGUCUGUCUUUUGCAGUUGCAGUACAUGAUGAUGCUUUUAUGGUGUGGUGAUAAACUGCUUUUAUAAUCAAAUAGUUCACAAAUCCUGGUUUCAUAAUUCCACUGGAAACAAAUUGCUAUUGUUGGUAUUGAGUUGGUGACCAAGGGGCCCAUUUGGGAUUGUCUCUCUAAAAAGCACUUCAACUCAUAAGCGCUUGUGGCAGAAGCGCUUUUAUUAUAAACAUGUUGAAAUUCUGUGUACUUUUUUUCAUGGAUUGAGAAGAAUAAUAUCGAAGGAAUUUGGAGACUGAAUUUUGGUUGCACCAUGUUUAGUGAUAUCGAGUAAUUCAACCAUGUGGCAGAUGAAAUUUAAAACCAUCAUCUCCUCUAACAAAGAGGAGAUGGGUUAUGCUAGAUCAACUGGUCAAUGGAAACACAAUCAGAUUUAAUAAUAUAUAUAUAUAUAUAUAUAUAUAUAUAUAUUUUUAAUAAAUGAUAUUAUCCAUACCAAGGGGUAGGGGAAUGAAUUAAGCCUCACACUGGGCUAUCAAUAAUGUGGUUCAAAUUCUUUUUUUGCGAGAAUCGAACUUAAGAUCUAUCACUUAUAAGUGAAGAGGGAUACUACUAAACCGUAAUACUAAGCAGCAAUAUUAUUUUUUGCUUAAAGAUGAAUAUUAAUUUUCUGUCUAGUAAUUUGGCAGGGAUUUGAACUUGCAACAUUCUUCAAUAGUAGAAAUAGGAGUACUAAUACUUGUUCCUUUUUAUAUGGCGAUGUCACAAUGUUUCACCGUAUGAACAUUAUCAUCAGAAUUGUUCAUUAUCUUUAUCAUUAUUUUAAAGAUCAUCUUUAGAAUAUUCAUUCGAUUUGAAAAUUGUUUGGUCACCUAGAUGUGUUGAACAAAUCAACGUUUAAAACAUUUUCAAUUUCAAAAUCGUUCAGUCACCCAGAUUUGUCGAGCAAAUCAAUGUUUAUAAUAUUAAGUAAUAUUAAGUAACAUCUUUGAGAUGACUAAUCGGGUCGUCAGUUAAUAACAGGUUUACAUGUGAGUAACCAAUUUUGACCCCGUAAUAAGAAGAAAAAAUAUUAUGACGAUUUUAAAAUUACUAAAAAAAUACAUAGCCAGUGUCUAUAUUGCAUGUAGAGGCUGCUGCUGCACGAGCAUCAGCUCUAUUUUUACGGUACUGGGGAACGGAACAGGUGCAGGUGGAGGGGGAUGCUCUUAUGGUGAUAUCUGCAAUCCAUAAUGCAGGUGCAGCGCAUCAUGGUCAUUAUGGCCAUCUGUUUGCGGAUACACGGCAUGUUCUUCAAAGCUUCAAGCAAUGGAAGGUUUCGUUUGGUCGAAGAGAUAUGAACAAAGCGGUCCAUCGCCUUGCAGGGUUUAGUCUAACUAUCAAUCACCCAGUUUCUUGGUUCGAAGCACCUCUUGCUGUAAUUUCAGAUUUAUUAUUGAAAGAUAGUACUAGUCGUUAAUUUUGGUGCGGAACACGAAAGAUAGUACUAGUCGUUAAUUUUGGUGCGGAACACUCUUUUUCCCUUCGAUCGGGUUGAAAGCUGCCGCAAGGUUUUUAUUGAGGCCCUCUAUAAGCACUCUACCCUCGAUUUUGUAUGUAUUUCACUAUUCAAUAAAUAUCAUACUUCAUCUCAAGAAAAAGAAAAGAAAGGUCUUUGUAGUUUCAACAUUUUGGAGCUCAAGUUUAACAUUAAAUACGUUCCUUUUAUCGGAAUGAUAAAUGCUCACUUGACAGAAAAUAAUUUUUAGUUUGUCCUCGAUGUAUCUCUCUAAUUUAAUAGACGCUAAUACCAAGGCAUCAGUGUAACAUACCACAUCGACCAAUAUAGAAGGGGUGAUGUGCCUUAUAUGUACAUGCUCCUCCUAUAGCACAAGACCUUUUGAGAACUCACUAACUUUGGAUUCUAUCAGAACUCCGAAGUUAAGCGAGUUUGGGCUACAGCAUUUCUCGUGUGAGUUCCUAGAAACAAAACCGUGAGGAAGUGGCCGGGCCCAAAACGGACAAUAUCGUGCUACGACGAAGACGGAACUGGGUUAUGACAGUCAGUGAUUGAGUAUUUUGUACUCGGAAAAGUAAUGCUAGGUGGACCAACUAUUUAGAUCACAUUUGUAAAUUAUUUGAGCACUCGGAAAUAAACAUUUUAAUCAAUAGUUGAGUAUUCAUAUAAUUUACAAAAUAUGAUUUAAAUAGACGGUUUCCUAACAUUACUCUUUACGACAAAAUAGAGAAAAUGACAAUAAGAUUGAAAUAUGAGAAUUUAACAAAGAAAUGAAGUGGUUGGUUUAAUAGAGAGCAUGCAAAGAUUUGAAACGUUCAACUCAAUUUCGAACUCACCAGUUACACACACAUAUUUUUGGGUCUCUGAUUUUGUUUUUGCAUAUUGUUAAUUCGUAAGCGAAAAGUGGUUUGUCACCAUAUGUAGUACCAGAGUUGUAUGAAGGAACAAUUAUUCUGCCAACAAGAUGUGGCAGAUAGAUCAUGCAUCCGAUUUGAAUUUCCUUAGUGUAAUUAGAGUAAUUUAGAAUGAGUAAUACUUAGUACUCACUAUUACACUCUAUGUACUCGUUUUCUGAUUUGACAUAAAAAUAUUGUAUAUUAUUUUAAAAAAUAAUAAAACCCAAAAAAAAAUUAAAUAACAUUGUAUAUUAUUUUCAAAAAUAAUAAAACCUAUAUUAAAAUAUCAUUAGACAAAAUAAAAAGCCAAAUACUCACUCAUUUUUCUCUUUCAAAAUAUAUAAUGCCCGCGAGGGUCGAGUGCUGACUGAGCGAGGGGCUAUUUUCUUUGUCGUGAGAUUUGAAAAGCAGGAGGACUAAAAGUGUAAGGAAGCAGAUGACGACGGCGGCGGUGAACCUGCCGAUCAUUGACUUGUCCUCAUCAGAUUCCAUCUCCUCCGCCAAUUCAAUCCGUCAGGUUCUCGCUCUCCCUUCUUCCAAUAUUACACCAAAACCUCAAAUUUCUCUGAAAAUUAGUUUUUCUUUUAUUGAAUUUAGCUUGAAUUAUAUUUGUGUGUGU